rnacentral:rRNA from 1 species
UACGUAGGGGGCAAGCGUUGUCCGGAUUUAUUGGGCGUAAAGAGCGUGUAGGCGGCUGGGUAGGUCCGUUGUGAAAACUCGAGGCUCAACCUCGAGACGCCGAUGGAAACCCUCCAGCUAGAGUCCGGAAGAGGAGAGUGGAAUUCCUGGUGUAGCGGUGAAAUGCGCAGAUAUCAGGAAGAACACCCGUGGCUAAGGCGGCUCUCUAGUACGGUACUGACGCUGAGACGCGAAAGCGCGGGGAGCGAACAGG